ACGAACGCUGGCGGCGUGCUUAACACAUGCAAGUCGAACGAUCAAGGCUCACUUCGGUGAGUGUAUAGAGUGGCGAACGGGUGAGUAACACGUGGGAAACCUGCCCCUUUCUUCGGGAUAACUUCGGGAAACCGUUGCUAAUACCGGAUACUCCGGGAUGGUCGCAUGGCCGACCCGGGAAAGCUUUAUGUGGAAAGGGAUGGUCCCGCGGCCCAUUAGCUUGUUGGUGGGGUAAUGGCCUACCAAGGCAAUGAUGGGUAGCCG
rnacentral:rRNA from 1 species